rnacentral:rRNA from 1 species
CACGGAGUUAGCCGGAGCUUAUUCUCCCGGUACUGUCAUUAUCAUCCCGGGUAAAAGAGCUUUACAACCCUAAGGCCUUCAUCACUCACGCGGCAUUGCUGGAUCAGGCUUUCGCCCAUUGUCCAAUAUUCCCCACUGCUGCCUCCCGUAGGAGUCUGGGCCGUGUCUCAGUCCCAGUGUGGCUGAUCAUCCUCUCAGACCAGCUAAGGAUCGUCGGCUUGGUGCGCCUUUACCACACCAACUACCUAAUCCUACGCGGGCUCAUCCCUCGGCGAUAAAUCUUUGGACUUACGUCAUCAUCCGGUAUUAGCAGUCGUUUCCAACUGUUAUUCCGAACCAAGGGGCAGAUUCCCACGCGUUACGCACCCGUGCGCCACUAAGGCCGAAGCCUUCGUUCGACUUGCAUGUGUUAGGCAUGCCGCCAGCGUUCAUUCUGAGCCAGGAUCAAACUCU